CCAGACUCCUACGGGAGGCAGCAGCGGGGAAUAUUGCACAAUGGGGGAAACCCUGAUGCAGCGACGCCGCGUGAGUGAAGAAGUAUUUCGGUAUGUAAAGCUCUAUCAGCAGGGAAGAAAAUGACGGUACCUGACUAAGAAGCCCCGGCUAACUACGUGCCAGCAGCCGCGGUAAUACGUAGGGGGCAAGCGUUAUCCGGAUUUACUGGGUGUAAAGGGAGCGUAGACGGCAUGGCAAGUCAGAUGUGAAAGCCCGGGGCUCAACCCCGGGACUGCAUUUGAAACUGUCAGGCUGGAGCGCAGGAGAGGUAAGUGGAAUUCCUAGUGUAGCGGUGAAAUGCGUAGAUAUUAGGAGGAACACCAGUGGCGAAGGCGGCUUACUGGACUGUAACUGACGUUGAGGCUCGAAAGCGUGGGGAGCAAACAGGAUUAGAUACCCGAGUAAAC
rnacentral:rRNA from 1 species